GUAAACUCGUGUUUCCACUAACCUAAAACUACUUGACGUCUGAAAAGGGAGCAGCUGAGAAAUAUAAACUCUACAUGUAGGAGUAAUGUUGCUAGUUUUCCGUCCUCACUAAAUGCUAAAAGCAGUCUGGUUUUUUAAUUUUAUUUUAUAUGGAGUGUUUUGCCUGUAUGUAUGUGUGUGAACCACCUGCCCGUCUGGUGCGGGCAGAGGCCAGAUGAGAAUGAAAGAUCUCCUGGAAGUGGGGUGUUAACAUGUGGUUAUGAAUGCUGAUGGUAGAACGCAGGUCCUCUGGAAGAGCAGCUAGUACUAUUAACCGUUGGACCAUCUCUCCUCUUAGAUUUCUAUAGAGUUGAUAAUGGUAUCCCCUAAUUCUUUCUGGCAUAAUUUCAGUAAUCUUCAAAAAACCAACUUUUCCUUUAAUUCUUCCAUUUAUUAUCCAUCAUUUUCUUCAUUAAUUAGUUUCUCUUUCUUGCUUCCUUCCUCCCUUCCUUCCUUUCUCCGAGUUUUGUUUGCUCUUGUCUAGUAUAGCAAAGUAGAGGAUUUGUUGUUGUUUGUUUGUUUGUUUGUUUUUAAAGACAGGUCCUCCUAUCCUGUAACUCAACCGCAAGCCUUGAGAUUGAACUUCCCACAUGCUGGGAUUUCUGGCUUAAGCCACCACACCAUGUUCUAGCGUUGGUUUCUGUUUUAAAUCUGUGUGUCUGGAAAACAUACUUAUUACGACUUAAGCUGUUCUAAAUGUACAGAGACUUUCUAUGACCUUAAUAUUUGUCUGUCAUGGAGAAGGGUCUAUGUACACUUGAAAAUAUGUACAGCACACAAAAGGAGGACAUGAUGUUGUGGGAAAUGGAUACAGCUAAAGAUAGUAAGCAAAAGAAGUCUGAAGACCAAUUUCAUGUUUUCUUUCACAUUUGGAUCCAGAUUGUAUAAACACCUAAAAGAAUAUCUGAUAUGAGAGCAGAGGAGAGACACUGGAGGAAAAAAGAAUGGAAGGUGGGGGUGGAAAAGAGGGAAGAUAUGCAGAAAGGGACAUGGGUAAAAUGUAUAGUACAGGUAAAUAGAUUGUCUUUAUGAAACCCAGUGCUAUGGAUAUGAAUAUUCAAUGUAAAGAAGAGGAAGCAGAGAAGGGAGGAAGAAAAACACAUGUCUAAUUGUGUGUAGUGAUACAUGCCUGCAAUCCCAGGGACGCAGAAAGAGGAAGAUUCCUUGACUUUGAAUUCAUUCAGGCCUAUAUAGCAAGACCCUGUCUCAUAAAAACCAACCAAUACCAAACCAAACAGCAAAAAACAAAUAUCUGCAGUCAUUGGGAGAAGAAGGGGCAGGACAGAAGAUCCCUGCACAGACCUUCAGGAAGCAGAAACCAGUACAGUGAAAAGAGUUGGUGUGGAAGAGAGGAAGAGAGAUGCCCUUCCAAAAGGUGGGGACUAAGCCAAGUAGUACAGAUGACACGCUCUGGAGCCAGUCCUACAACAUGAGCUGAGAAUCCCAAAAAAUGGUGCAGUACUGAUCGCUCUCCGGGCAAGCAACACUGCCACCAGGAUCCCGUUCCCCUCCACCGGUCCCCCUGCACCCCAAAGCCAUUUUCAUCACACUGGGAAGAGGAGAGAGGCUCUGAACAGCUCUGACAAUUCACAUCCCUCCCUCAGCUAACUCCCUCUCCAGCCUCUCUGCAGCCUACUUGCUUCACUGUCCCGGCCCUUUCCUGGGCUCGACUGCCAGCUGGUACUGUCCUCUACAGGACAAGACACACACUGGAUUUCAAUGAAAUUAGAAAGCCCAUCUUAAAGGAACAACCAACAACAACAAGAACCCACUUGGAACUGGGAAGACAGUCCAGGCAAUAAAGUCUCAUGAGACCUGAGUUUGGUCCCCAGAACCCAUGUAAAACAAACAAAACAAAACAAAACAAAAACCAUGUAGAAAAGCCA